UACGUAGGGGGGCUAGCGUUGUCCGGAAUCAUUGGGCGUAAAGAGCGUGUAGGCGGUCCGGUAAGUCUGCUGUGAAAGUCAAAGGCUCAACCUUUGAAUGUCAGUGGAUACUGCCGGGCUAGAGUCCGGAAGAGGCGAGUGGAACUCCUGGUGUAGCGGUGGAAUGCGCAGAUAUCAGGAAGAACACCGACGGCGAAGGCAGCUCGCUGGGACGGUACUGACGCUGAGGCGCGAAAGCGUGGGGGAGCGAACAGG
rnacentral:rRNA from 1 species